rnacentral:rRNA from 1 species
CCUACGGGUGGCUGCAGUGGGGAAUAUUGGACAAUGGGCGAAAGCCUGAUCCAGCCAUGCCGCGUGUGUGAAGAAGGCCUUCGGGUUGUAAAGCACUUUCAGUGGGGAAGAAAGCCUUGGGGCUAAUACCCUCGAGGAAGGACAUCACCCACAGAAGAAGCACUGGCUAACUCCGUGCCAGCAGCCGCGGUAAUACGGAGGGUGCGAGCGUUAAUCGGAAUUACUGGGCGUAAAGCGCGCGUAGGCGGUCUGAUAAGCCGGUUGUGAAAGCCCCGGGCUCAACCUGGGAACGGCAUCCGGAACUGUCAGGCUAGAGUGCAGGAGAGGAAGGUAGAAUUCCCGGUGUAGCGGUGAAAUGCGUAGAGAUCGGGAGGAAUACCAGUGGCGAAGGCGGCCUUCUGGACUGACACUGACGCUGAGGUGCGAAAGCGUGGGUAGCAAACAGGAUUAGAUACCCUUGUAGUC